GUUCUAUGAUGAGAACUAGCCAAAUCUUAUCACCGUGAGGUCUUCUGAUCAAGUGGUGCAUGACAUAAGUGUAAUUCUGAGG